CCACUACAUGUUUGGUAAUGACGUGAUGUUGAGGCGGCUAGGAGAAGCUCAGCAGCCAGAUCAAGGGCUAUCGAGAUGGAUCUGGGAGCCAAGCAGUAGUUCUUCUGUUAAAUUUUGCUUGUUGGCAUAGAUGCGUGGCACUGCGGCAACUAAUCAAGAGCGAGGGCAGUGCACAUCAGAGCUACGCUGAAUGUAGCGAGCCAACCACGAAUUGGGAUGAAAGUAGCGCCAGCAGAAUCAGUAGGUUGGAUGGGAAGGCGGUUGUUGCCCUUGUCCCUUG